rnacentral:rRNA from 1 species
UACGGAGGGUGCGAGCGUUGUCCGGAAUCACUGGGCGUAAAGGGCGCGUAGGUGGCGCGGGCAGUCAACGGUGAAAGUUCGGGGCUCAACCCUGAAUCGGCCGUCGAUACUCCCGGGCUUGAGCACUGUAGAGGCAGAUGGAAUUCCGGGUGUAGCGGUGGAAUGCGUAGAGAUCCGGAAGAACACCGGUGGCGAAGGCGGUCUGCUGGGCAGUAGCUGACGCUGAGACACGAAAGCGUGGGUAGCAAACAGG